GAUGAACGCUAGCGGCAGGCUUAAUACAUGCAAGUCGUGGGGCAGCACAGUGUAGCAAUACAUGGGUGGCGACCGGCAAACGGGUGCGUAACACGUACGCAACCUUCCUUUAGGCGGGGAAUAGCCCAGAGAAAUUUGGAUUAAUACCCCAUAAAAUUUUGAGAUGGCAUCAUCUUAUUAUUAAAGCUUCGGCACCUGAAGAUGGGCGUGCGGCUGAUUAGGUAGUUGGCGGGGUAACGGCCCACCAAGCCUUCGAUCAGUAGCUGAUGUGAGAGCAUGAUCAGCCACACGGGCACUGAGACACGGGCCCGACUCCUACGGGAGGCAGCAGUAAGGAAUAUUGGUCAAUGGGCGAAAGCCUGAACCAGCCAUGCCGCGUGGAGGAUGAAGGUCCUCUGGAUUGUAAACUUCUUUUAUCUGGGACGAAAAAGGGUUUUCUAACUCGUCUGACGGUACCAGAUGAAUAAGCACCGGCUAACUCCGUGCCAGC
rnacentral:rRNA from 1 species